UAUCAGAUAUUUACAUUACGAUUCAUAACAGUAGCAACAUUUCAGUUAUGAAGUAGCAACGAAAAUAAUUUUAUGGUUGGGUCACAACAUGAGGAACAGUAUUUAAAGGGCCAGAAGGUUGAGAACCGCUGCCCUAGAGGCUUUCCCUGAGAAAUGGACGGUGCUGUUUCAACAGGAAAAAAGCGGUAGGAUUUGCUGGUAGUUCAAUGCAGCCUGUGUUUGGAUCUCCCUGUAACCGGUGUUUUUUGUUUUUCUUUUUCUUCUUUUUUUUGAUCUGACUUUGACAACAGGGUUCCCUUCCGUCUCCAUCUCCAGCCUUUUCCUGGGCUCUGCGUUGAACUCUUGGCACUGGAUGUUGUCCUGGUCAACCCUUAGGCAGGUACAUCCUGAGAACAAAACACUUUCCCCUCCAUGUGGCUAGAGCCAUCGCAUUUCCAACCUCCUCGAGUAAAUGAAGUUCCGAGGGGUUACCUGAUACCCACUUAGACCUCGGUCCUGCGAGACCCGACAUCCUGCCAGGACUUUACACUUACUGUGCAGAAAGACAAACAUCUAUACACCAGAUUUCCCUGCGUUUCCUAUAGAGUGUCUUCCUAAUUACUUCCGCUUGAAGCAGCACCCUCAGUUCUUUCUCUCUCUUUGCAUAGGACCGUCUAUUUGUUGCCCCAAACCGCCCAACUUUCUGAGAAUUUUAAACACAAUUUCUCAGCUUAAAUUUAUUUAUUUAUUGCUUGAAUCUAUUUCACCAUUGUCCUCAACGUUCUUUCCCUUCUCCUUAGUAAUCCCUCGGCAAAACCCUGUCCGUGGAUACACCUGUUUCACGACUGUUACUUGGCUCUGAAAUAUGGUUCAAGAGGAAAACAUUUAACCACGCUGCCUCUCAGUCCUGAGGCACAAUAUAUUUUGGCCUCCAUCCUAGGUAACUGCCCUGUUACCUAAGUUAAGGGUUUUUCCAUCAGUGAAACGCAGCCAUUGGUUGAGACACAGCCAAUUAAUUUGAGGGGUGACAAUCUACAUUAUUGAUGAAGAGAAACAGUCAGUGUAUAUUACACAUAGGGAUAGUAAGUAUUGUUCAUGAAACUUUUGUUCCAGAUUAAAUGCAUAAAUUGUGUACCAGUUCACAACAUUAAAAAAUGUGUCUUGCUCUGGCCAAUGUGGCUCAGUUGGUUAGCAUCAUCCCAGGCACCAAGGGGUUGCCAGUUAGAUACCCUGUCAGGGCACAUGUCCAGGUUUGGGCUUGAUCCAUGGUAGGGGGCAUGAAGGAGGCAGCCGAUUGAUAUUUCUCUCUUAAAUUGAUGUUUCUCUAGCCCUCUCCCUUCCUCUCUCUGUAAAAUCAAUAAAAAAAUCUUUAAAAAUAUUUCUUAUUGGAAAUUUGAGUCAGUAAUUCAAAACACCAAUAUAGUCAUUUUUAAAUUUUACACCUACUCUCUGCUCAAAUCUCUAAUCCACCUUCUUCACUUAGCAGAUAACUUUGCAUCUGAUUUCAGUGACAAACUGAAGCUGAAGAGAACUUGUUUAUCUUUCCACCACCCUCUGCAACAGACUACCAACAACUGUACCAUAUACAUUGGCCUCCAUCCUUUAUAACGGGUGAGCUUUCUCUGCUCCUACUCAAGGCAACCUCUCCAUUAAUACACUGGGUCCCAUGACCUUUUUCUUCCUCAAGAUCUUUGCCCAUGAAAUUAAACUUCUGUCUUUUACAUCAUUAAUUAUACACUCUUGCCUAGAUCAUUCCCAAUAAUAAAUAAACAGCAAUGCUUUAUAGAAAUAAUAGUUAACAUGGAUAUAGUAGUUAUCAUGUGCCAUAUCCUGUGAUAAAAACUGUACAUAUGUUAAUUCUUUUUAUCCUUACUCAAAUUAGAAACUAUCAUUCCCAUUUUAUGGAUGAGGAAACUGAGGCACAGCAUGUUAAGCUGAGGGUGGCAGUACUAGGGAAUCAUAGAAUCAAUAUUUGAACUAUGUAGGCUGAUGCGAGAAUUUAUGUUCUUAACCACUAUGUAAUUUGCUUCUCUCAUGUGAAUAAAACUUGUUGACUUCAA